rnacentral:rRNA from 1 species
AGCGAACGCUGGCGGCAGGCCUAACACAUGCAAGUCGAACGGACCCUUCGGGGUUAGUGGCGGACGGGUGAGUAACACGUGGGAACGUGCCUUUAGGUUCGGAAUAGCUCCUGGAAACGGGUGGUAAUGCCGAAUGUGCCCUUCGGGGGAAAGAUUUAUCGCCUUUAGAGCGGCCCGCGUCUGAUUAGCUAGUUGGUGAGGUAACGGCUCACCAAGGCGACGAUCAGUAGCUGGUCUGAGAGGAUGACCAGCCACACUGGGACUGAGACACGGCCCAGACUCCUACGGGAGGCAGCAGUGGGGAAUCUUGCGCAAUGGGCGAAAGCCUGACGCAGCCAUGCCGCGUGAAUGAUGAAGGUCUUAGGAUUGUAAAAUUCUUUCACCGGGGACGAUAAUGACGGUACCCGGAGAAGAAGCCCCGGCUAAUUUCGUG